UACGAAGGGGGCUAGCGUUGCUCGGAAUGACUGGGCGUAAAGGGCGCGUAGGCGGAUGGCACAGUCAGAUGUGAAAUUCCCGGGCUUAACCUGGGGGCUGCAUUUGAUACGUGUUGUCUUGAGUUCGGAAGAGGGUCGUGGAAUUCCCAGUGUAGAGGUGAAAUUCGUGGAUAUUGGGAAGAACACCGGUGGCGAAGGCGGCGACCUGGUCCGACACUGACGCUGAGGCGCGAAAGCGUGGGGAGCAAACAGG
rnacentral:rRNA from 1 species